rnacentral:tRNA from 1 species
GAAAGCACCGGUCUUGAAAACCGGCAACCGUUAAUAGCGGUUCUAGGGUUCAAAUCCCUAUCCCUCCA